ensembl:lncRNA
GCUUGACUUGGAGGUGAUUCUGUUCUGUGCCCCUGUGCUAGAAUGCAGCUAAGGUUUUGCAGCAAAAUGAUGAGACAGCAAAUCUAACCAGAUGCAGCAAUUGCCAUGCAUGGAUCAUUUGUGCAUCCAACAGAGCAAGGAUUCUCCUGUACUGGUAUGCCAAAUCCCCUACACUUAUAAUUCAUCUAUCCAAUAAUGUGGGUUUUGCUGUAUGGAUAUUCCUGUUAUAAAUUUGAAUAAUGUAAAAUAGAAAUGCAUUUCAGAUGAUGUUUUGUUUGCUGGGGAAGUGUAAGUUUGUUUUUGACUCGUGGCAGUGUUUUAUUGUAAUGUCAGCUACAGCAACACAGAAUGAAGACUUCUAUCCCACAGACCAAAGCAAAUGUUCAGGUAAGAAUUGAUGCUUUUCCCAUUUAAAGGUAAAGAAAAGAAAUGUAAGAGUUACUAUGCCUUAUAUAUGUGGGAUUAUGAUUUAUAAGAAGCAUAUUAAAUUGGGUAAAGAAUACGUUUAGUUUUAAGGUUGAAUGUUCAUGUGAUUAAUCUUUAUAAUAAGUUAGAUGUGUUUCUUUAUGAGAAAGGAAGAAAGAGCCGUAAAGCAAAGGCAGUGAACUCUAUUUUCAUUUGGUUCAGAGGCAGAAGUCUCACCAUGCAAGGUCUGCAUCUGAUUUAUCCUCUCCCCUCCUCGGCUGGCAGCUAGAGUAAUUGAUGCAUUUGGAGCCAUGUUGAUGUGUAGCAUACCUUAGAAUGAUUUCUAUACCCAUUUCAAUAGAAAUUAUUUCACUAUCCGGUUUUGGUUUUAGUUCAGUACUGUUACUAGUCAGUUAUUGUAAACUUUUAUACAUUUUCAUUAUAUGGGUAUUAAUUAGGUUCGGGCAAUGUUCUGCUGCCCACUGAAAUAUGUCAGUAUCUGAACAUUCCGUGCUGUGCUUUGAAGUUAAUGCCUUCACAUGGUACAAAACUAAAAGGUGCUGCACUGUGCAGAGGCAUAAGCAAGAUGUUAUCAUCGUGUCAAACGCAAGGAAUGGUGACUCAUUUAGAGAGAGUAAGUAAUUGGAAAAACAAACAGGCUUGUUCUGAAAGUCAUUGUCAGAGAUGAAAGUAUUUAUUUGCAAUAGCACAGUACUUAAGAUUGUUGGUUAUGGGCCAGGACUCAGACUGAUUAAUGUUGUGUUCAGUUUUCAUUCUGUCACCUACAGAGUGAAAACCUGCAGCUCAAUUAGAAAUAAAAUUAAAUGUUCUUUUGUUUUGUGUACAAAUUUAGGUUUUCUGAGGUAGCAGUGUAGUCUGUGGAAGAGAACUAAAUUUAUGAGGAUGCUGACAGUAAUGUAAGAAAUCUGACAGUAUUCACCAUCCUGUCCUGCUGUAAAGGAGACCAUUUUCAAAAUUAUUCCAAAAUUUGUGUGAUGAAGGAGGAACAUGAGAAGGGGAAAAAGGGAAAUGCACAUGGAGUUGGUGGAAGAAUGGAGAAGACUUACAUUAGGUGGAGAUCUCAAGGGCUACUGCCAGUUUCACUUUGUGAUAAUGGAAACGGUGUCCAAAUCCCUGAUGACUGACAACAGCGUUUCUGCCAGCAUCCUGCAGAGAUGCAGCGGGUGCUCUGCAUCCCUCACAG